rnacentral:rRNA from 1 species
UACGAAGGGGGCUAGCGUUGUUCGGAAUCACUGGGCGUAAAGGGCGCGUAGGCGGCCUUUCAAGUCGGGGGUGAAAGCCUGUGGCUCAACCACAGAAUUGCCUUCGAUACUGCAUGGCUUGAGUCCGGAAGAGGUAAGUGGAACUGCGAGUGUAGAGGUGAAAUUCGUAGAUAUUCGGAAGAACACCAGUGGCGAAGGCGGCUCACUGGACUGGUAUUGACGCUGAGGUGCGAAAGCGUGGGGAGCAAACAGG